rnacentral:rRNA from 1 species
GAUGAACGCUGGCGGCGUGCUUAACACAUGCAAGUCGAACGAUGAAGCCCAGCUUGCUGGGUGGAUUAGUGGCGAACGGGUGAGUAACACGUGAGUAACCUGCCCUUAACUCUGGGAUAAGCCUGGGAAACUGGGUCUAAUACCGGAUAGGAGCGUCCACCGCAUGGUGGGUGUUGGAAAGAUUUAUCGGUUUUGGAUGGACUCGCGGCCUAUCAGCUUGUUGGUGAGGUAAUGGCUCACCAAGGCGACGACGGGUAGCCGGCCUGAGAGGGUGACCGGCCACACUGGGACUGAGACACGGCCCAGACUCCUACGGGAGGCAGCAGUGGGGAAUAUUGCACAAUGGGCGCAAGCCUGAUGCAGCGACGCCGCGUGAGGGAUGACGGCCUUCCGGUUGUAAACCUCUUUCAGUAGGGAAAAAGCGAAAGUGACGGUACCUGCAGAAGAAGCACCGGCUAACUACGUGCCAGCAGCCGCGGUAAUACGUAGGGUGCGAGCGUUAUCCGGAAUUAUUUGGGCGUAAAGAGCUCGUAGGCGGUUUGUCGCGUCUGUCGUGAAAGUCCGGGGCUUAACCCCGGAUCUGCGGUGGGUACGGGCAGACUAGAGUGCAGUAGGGGAGACUGGAAUUCCUGGUGUAGCGGUGGAAUGCGCAGAUAUCAGGAGGAACACCGAUGGCGAAGGCAGGUCUCUGGGCUGUAACUGACGCUGAGGAGCGAAAGCAUGGGGAGCGAACAGGAUUAGAUACCCUGGUAGUCCAUGCCGUAAACGUUGGGCACUAGGUGUGGGGACCAUUCCACGGUUUCCGCGCCGCAGCUAACGCAUUAAGUGCCCCGCCUGGGGAGUACGGCCGCAAGGCUAAAACUCAAAGGAAUUGACGGGGGCCCGCACAAGCGGCGGAGCAUGCGGAUUAAUUCGAUGCAACGCGAAGAACCUUACCAAGGCUUGACAUGUUCUCGAUCGCCGUAGAGAUACGGUUUCCCCUUUGGGGCGGGUUCACAGGUGGUGCAUGGUUGUCGUCAGCUCGUGUCGUGAGAUGUUGGGUUAAGUCCCGCAACGAGCGCAACCCUCGUUCCAUGUUGCCAGCACGUAAUGGUGGGGACUCAUGGGAGACUGCCGGGGUCAACUCGGAGGAAGGUGAGGACGACGUCAAAUCAUCAUGCCCCUUAUGUCUUGGGCUUCACGCAUGCUACAAUGGCCGGUACAAUGAGUUGCGAUACUGUGAGGUGGAGCUAAUCCCAAAAAGCCGGUCUCAGUUCGGAUUGGGGUCUGCAACUCGACCCCAUGAAGUCGGAGUCGCUAGUAAUCGCAGAUCAGCAACGCUGCGGUGAAUACGUUCCCGGGCCU